UCACUGGAGGAGCGGAGAAUCACGGAAGGAGUUGUGUGGUGCGUGGGUCGUGCUGGAACCAGCGGUCUCUGGAAUCUGCUCUCAGGCUAGUGCUCGCUCUUCACCGUAAUCACAGAGAGCCGUCUUACUGAGUUUCACACCAAACUCCGUACCAUCACAGUUACAUUUUGGAUGCACUUGAAUUGCCUUUGCCUCAGCUGACAGUGUUACGUGCUCCCUGGGAGAAGGAUGCUGAAACAAAACAGGUGGCUGGAGUGAAUUAGAAUUUGAAUUUGACUCUCCCUUUCCUCUUCGUCACCAAAACGAACCGCAAAGGGGAGGUUAAUCACCAAGCAUGAACUGCCUGGCGGCAGGCUCACCGCAAGGUGAUGCCCUCAGAACACGCCGUUGCCCUGGUCGACUGUGUUUGGAGGGGUUUCCAGCUGUUCCUAGGAGAGCAGUCUCCAGUUUCGGCGGGAGGGUCUCUGCCCGACGUUCGCCCUUUUGUAUUGGCGUGAUUUCUUCGAUUGAUGGUUUGAGUUGUUAGAUGAAUUGGAGGGUGAAGCCACACCCUGCUAUCUUCUUGUCACAUUUGUCUUAGCCAGCGCUGUGCUGUCAGUAGGCGUCCAGCUGGCAGGCUUGCGCGUGUUUUUAAAUGGCCCCGUGGAGUGGAAAGCAACCUGUCCGCAUGCAAAUGAGACCACACUGUAUGUUCUUGCAGAAAUCUUGUGUGUGGGAUCUGUUCGCUGGGGAUCGACCGGAGCGUGGUCAGCCCCAUGCCGGAAGCAGUGCUUGUCCAUAUCUGUGGCACCCAUCUCUUUGUUACAUGCCCAACCGGUCCAGACUUCAUAAUGUUGCCAUAGUACCACGUUUCAUUAGUUUUCUGGUCAUGUUCUACUAAUAGCCAGAUGGCAUAGGGAUAUGUUUUUCCUUUACUUAAUUUGUCCAGAUUUCAUUAUCCCUCUUUUACAGGGAUUUUAAUUUUGAAAAAUAAUUAGUGGGAGACUGAUGAAGCAGAGAUGCGUGCCUGGGCGUUGUGUUUAACUACGUGAGCAACAGAUAAUGACACAUCCAGGCUUGCUGGGGGUUUGGAUUCGGAGGAGUUACUGCUCUCCUCUGUAUCCUCUUUGGCAUUUUUAGGAGUUCCUGACUUACAACAUGUCAUAAAACUUACAUUUAGAAAAGAUGAGAACUGGAAAGUUACCAAAUACUGGUGGUUUUGGAUGUUCAGAAAUCCUUUAUGGAUUUUGAAAGGUAAAAAUGAAAGUUAAGGAGUUACACAUAUCUUAGUGUUUUACUUUUGUUGUGCUCUUUCCCAUUGUUUUGGUGUUUUGGCAUUUGUAGCCAUUCAAAUGGCUCCUAGAUGGGUCUGCACCCUCUUAAGACAGGAGUAUUUGCUUUAAAAUUUUCAUUGUACCUGGUGUUUACUUGUGAGGUCCUUCCCCAGACCAGUCGAUUUGAAAUUACUGGGUCUUCUCAGGCUUUAGGAAUAGCAAGGAUAAAAGGGUGAGUUAUAUAUUUGAGGCUUGCAAACCAUUCAGGGCUGGAAGGACAGAAUUUCUGACUUAAUUUUGCUUUAUACUUGGGCUUACAGGAAUUGUGGG
rnacentral:lncRNA from 1 species